GUGAAUACAUAAAUCAAUAUACUUAAUUGAAUACAUAAAUCAAUAGUUAUAUAUUUAGAUGGAGAUAAGAAUUUUCAGAUUGAAUUCAAAACAAGGCUUUGACAGUUUGUUAAUCUCAAUCCAUGCAUUUCCUAAAUAUAGUGAAACCAUUCAAAAAUCAUUACCCAUAGCCAGAGAAAUUCACUCUUGACCUGCAAAUUUUCAAGACCCCCUAUUUCUGCUCACAAUCUCCACAGCUAUAAGAAGGAAAGAACUCUCCUUCAUUAAGCAGAGGGCAUCAUCCCAAAUAGAAAACCAAGGGGGGGGAUUUGGAAUCACCAUUUUUUCACUAACAUAUGGAUUCCAAGUCCUCUUCUUUCCUCUUCCUCGCUCUUUUUGCCCUUUUCUCAUCAACCUCUAUGGCCUUCAACAUCACCAGGAUCCUUUCUAGCUACCCCGACUUUUCCACCUUCAACAACCUCCUUACUCAGACUGGCCUUGCCCAGCAAAUCAACAGCCGCCAAACCAUCACCAUCCUUGCUGUAUCUAAUGACGCCGUCGGUAGUCUUUCUGGCAAACCCCUCGAUCUCACCAAGAGGAUCUUGGGCGCCCAUGUGGUUCUUGAUUACUAUGAUCAGACAAAGCUUAAAAACCUUGAGAAAAAGAGCAGCAUUCUCACCACCUUGUACCAGACUACUGGCAUUGCAGAUAAUCAGCAAGGCUUCUUAAAUAUCACUAAGACUCCUAAUGGAAUCAUGUUUGGCUCUGCAGUGAAGGGUACUCCACUCACCGCGUCUCUGGAGGGCUCCGUAGUUUCACAGCCAUAUAACAUUUCUGUGCUUAAAGUCAGUAGGGUUAUUGAGGCUCCAGGGAUUGAUAAUAUUGCUCCUUCUCCACCACCUGGGGCUCCCGAGAAGGCUCCUGCUCCAGCACCAACCAAAGCCAAGUCUCCUGCACCAGUUGCUGAGGAACCAGUAGCCGAUAAUGCACCUAUAGAAGCACCAACCGAGGCACCGACUCCUGCCGACGCACCAGAAGCUAAUGCACCCAUCAGCUCUCCUCCAGAGCCCAACUCAACACCAGCAGAUGAUGCAACGGCUCCGGCUGUCCCACCUUCUCAAGAGUCGGUUUCUUCACGUAUGCAUGCGGGUGGCAUUGUAGCCGUCAUUGGGUUGGUAGCCUUAUCAGGGUUAAGUAGCACAU
rnacentral:misc_RNA from 1 species